rnacentral:rRNA from 1 species
GAUGAACGCUGGCGGCGUGCCUAAUACAUGCAAGUCGAGCGAACGGACGAGAAGCUUGCUUCUCUGAUGUUAGCGGCGGACGGGUGAGUAACACGUGGAUAACCUACCUAUAAGACUGGGAUAACUUCGGGAAACCGGAGCUAAUACCGGAUAAUAUUUUGAACCGCAUGGUUCAAAAGUAAAAGACGGUCUUGCUGUCACUUAUAGAUGGAUCCGCGCUGCAUUAGCUAGUUGGUAAGGUAACGGCUUACCAAGGCAACGAUGCAUAGCCGACCUGAGAGGGUGAUCGGCCACACUGGAACUGAGACACGGUCCAGACUCCUACGGGAGGCAGCAGUAGGGAAUCUUCCGCAAUGGGCGAAAGCCUGACGGAGCAACGCCGCGUGAGUGAUGGAGGUCUUCGGAUCGUAAAACUCUGUUAUUAGGGAAGAACAUAUGUGUAAGUAACUGUGCACAUCUUGACGGUACCUAAUCAGAAAGCCACGGCUAACUACGUG